AUUUGGGAGUGCGUUUUCGAUCUGUUAGGGUCUUUUGUCAGCUUUCUGACACUUGGCUGGACUGUGAACUUUCCUCAACUUGUAGAUGUGCAGUGCCUCCGUGCGGGAAUGCAGCACGAAACGGCUCCUCUGCGCUGCUUUAGCUGCUCCAUAUGAGCUUAAUAUCACCUGCUUCUUCGGCAUCGUGACUUCCAGGGUGCAUGAUAAAGACGAUGGACCGCCGGUUUCUGAUUAGCACAGCUGUGGAAUGAAUGAACAGGCUAUAGCGAGCGAGGACUGAGUUACUGCAGAGAGAGGAGCAGCGGGAGCCCUGCAGUGCACUUAGACGCUCGCGCGCUCACCGCCAGCGUUACUGGACGGAGUCUCGCGCCCUCUUCUGGCGGCUCACGUGUCCGCGCGCACAGUUGACUUCUCGUCCUCCGAAGACUGCGGCACGGCGCUCGAGCUCAAACUGCACUGCCCAGCUACGGUGGAGUCGGGCCUUCACGUCCACACACGCCCGCCCUUUAACGUACACUGACUAAUAAUAAAGUCGUACGUUCGCUUGCCUGUUUAUCCCGAGACAGCGGUCCAGCUCGCCUCACUAGCCGCAGAGAAGGAAAACGCCAGGAAAACGAGUUUCAUGGAGCAGUUUGAUUGGUCAGUUUCUUAUGGUCAUUACUAUAUAGGUUUAGUUGGACAAUUUUCUUACUUUCUCCCUGGAGACCACCGGUGGAGACCACCUUAUUCGAGUCUACAACCAGCCAUGUACAUGUCGAUAUGAUUUCAGGUAAAAUAAAAAACACAGCGAAUGAAAACUGAUAAAUAGUAGUAAGGUAGACGCACUGAUGUCAGCUAAAAUGGGUUUUUAGAGUUAGUUUAGCAGACGUACACUUUAUAGCCUUAAGUAAGGUUGGCUGGUUAGCGUUAGCUCUGUGAAACCAACAGCAUUUCAGAAGCAAGGCUGUAUAAGAAGUAGCCUAUUAGCAAUUUAGCUAACAACUACGCUUCUAAAAGAUAUACAGCGUCUUCAAUAUGUGCUUAUUUUUAUGUACUAUUGAUGUUCAAGAGAAAAAGAGGUGUAAAGAAAAGAGGUUUAUGUAUUUGAAAUUCACAGGCUUGUUCAUUAUUUUUCAGCAGAAAAAAUCCAGAAUUCCACAAUGUUUACAGUGUUAGCCUUGAACGUGUAAGGAUCGUCCUCCACUUAUUAACUAGCACAUUGCUGGUCACUGUGGUAUGAAGGAAUGUUAACUGAACAUCUGUUAAUCUAACAUUUAAAACGGGUUAGCUUUUCUGAUCUCCUUGGUCAGUUGGUCAUGCAGUAUUCACACAAAUGUAAAGGGUCGCUGGCGUUUGCCUGGAAUAGCACCAUUGAAAUACUGACCAUCUAGAAAUCACUGAAUCAGAACAAAACCAAGAGAAAUGUGAAAAACAUUGUGUCUAAAGCAGCAUGAGACCGUCACCGAGACUCGUUGAUCUACUAGAUGAUCUACAGAUCCUCAAACAUUAUGAAAAUGUGGUUAGUAUUCAGAUUAUGUGCUGUUCGUCUCUUCCUUCUUCUUGCAUUUUCUUCCAUUAUUUCUCAUUCAUAGCCCAUACUUUUUUCUUUACAGUGACAUUAUAUGGACCUUAUGUAUUUUACUAAGAAUAAUGAGUGGUACAAAAUGAAUGUAAUCAAAAUAUUAGUUGAGGAACUGUAGUUUCUUCUUUGUUUACAGAGUCAUAUCACAUUAGAUUGCAAUCGAUCUUUCCACAGAGUUUGUGGAAUAGAUUGGUUAAGCAAGGCAGUAUGGACUUUUGUUUUCUGUGGGCAGGAAAAAAAAACUAAGAGCAGGCAGGAUACACAGUGGACAGGGCGCCAGUCCAUCGCAGGGCAUAGGCUCCGGCAUCCCCCCGCGACCCUGACGGAGAAGCGGCUUAGAAAAUGGAUGGAUGGAUGGAUGUGUUUGUUAUGUCACACAAAUCAACACAUAAAUAUUAUAAAUAUAUAUUAUAUAUAUUAUUAUAUUAUAUAUUUUGCUAACAGCAGUUUAGCUCUGCCCACUAUUCAUGCUGUAGUGAUAAGGAGGUUUUUUUUAGGCUGGACUGCUUUUUGAAAGAGGCACAAUACAGGAUAGCCUGUCAGAACAGACCUCAUUUACAUAUAUCAGUCUUAAAAAAGCAGUAACAAAAACCUGUUUAAACCUCAAGGAUAAAGAGAGGCUGCAACGAAAAUCUAAGAUCCUUUAACCAAACCUACCUGGACCCCUGCGGCCCCUCUUUUGCUAUUUGCAGCAUUACGCAAUGAACAUUUUCGAGCUUGACUAGGCUACAGACAGCGACUCUAAUUGGAGGGGACUCCUCCGCUUCUGCUAUUUUAUACUUGCUGAAUUGGCAAGAACAGUUACAAAUUAACCAAACAAAAGCCUCUACUGCAGCUUUAUUACUUGUGUUAACUAUGCAGUGGGGAAAGAUAAUUAAAUUGGGCUAAGAAAAAUGGAGGAAUCCCUGCAUUGUGUAUUAGGCUGAUUACUACAGCAUCCCUCACGUGGAUGAGAAGUGCCAGAGAAAGAGUCUUUUGUCUUGGAUGUUCCAGAACAAUCUGAAUGUCAAUGUCUCUCUUCCACCAAAGGGAAAGAGGAGAUAUCACAUCUGUAUGUGUGUUAGGGGAGUGAAAAAAACACCUUGACAAGUCUUCAUUUCUCAUCUCUGUUAACAUCUGCUUGGGUUCUUAUAAACACACCACUCAUAAUAAUCAACACACUCAUAAAUUACAAACACGUUUACACAAAAUUUAAUUUAGGGCAGACAGUUGCAAUUGACUGCCGUCCACUGAACACAUAUCAGUCACUGCAGUUAAUGCAGUCUAGACCUGUUGACAUACACUGACUAUGCACUGUCAACAUCAUUCAUGACUACAUGCAAACUGACAGUGCACCCCUUUCAGGUCUACUCUACCAGGAAGCCAUUAGCUUAUAAAGCAGGCCUGCGCAGGCUACAUUUACAUAGGUGUUAAAUACAACAACACUGCACACUUAAUUUCCAUUAACUCCCCACCUUACUAAUUUAUUCUAGUUGCAGACAAUCAAAUUAUGAAGAAAAUUAUUAUUAGAAAUUCUUUGUGUUGACAUGCUGUUCACUUGAAAGACUCACAAAUUCAUUGCUCAUUAUUUUAGAUGAAAACAGUUUACUUGCUAAAUUAAAUGUAAACAGAAACCGCCAUUAUCUUCUGUAGCAUUUUUCUAACAUGAUAGAUCUUUAAUGGGGUGUACAAGCCUAAAACUAGUGUUUAAUGUGUUACUAUGCAGUAUUCUGUAUUGCGUCCCUUGGUUUGACACAAUCCACAGUUUUGUAUAAUUUUUGCGUUUUCAUCCAUCUUUGCUCUCUCACCAACAUACAACCAUAGGGAAUCCCCCCAUGGCACUAAGGAAAGCACUCAGGUAGACUUUAAUUGUCAUGUCUUCCUGCUCUGGGGAGACUGACUUGGACUCUUCCAGGCCUGUAAAUUACAGCUCAUUCAGACUGCUCUAUAUAACCCUUUGUUUCUACCACGUGUUUGCAAAGUCUCUUUGUUUGUCACUUGAGUUUUGAGCCUGUUUAUUGUAUUUGGUUUUCCCUGGUUUUGACCCCUGCUGGUCUCUUUGUUAUUUCUGAAUAUUGAUCUCUAUCUUUUUCUGCCUGCUUGCGUGUUGACCCUUGCCUGCUAUGACAAUGAGUAUCCGAAUGCCCUUAAUAAAGUCACUUGGCACUUGCAA